UACGUAGGGUGCAAGCGUUAAUCGGAAUUACUGGGCGUAAAGCGUGCGCAGGCGGCUUUGCAAGACAGAUGUGAAAUCCCCGGGCUUAACCUGGGAACUGCAUUUGUGACUGCAUGGCUUGAGUCCGGGAGAGGAGAGCAGAAUUCCCAGUGUAGCGGUGAAAUGCGUAGAUAUUCGCAAGAACACCAGUGGCGAAGGCGGCUCACUGGCCCGAUACUGACGCUGAGGCACGAAAGCGUGGGGAGCAAACAGG
rnacentral:rRNA from 1 species